GACGAACGCUGGCGGCGUGCCUAAUACAUGCCAGUUGAGCGAUGAAGAUUGGUGCUUGCACCAAUUUGAAGAGCAGCGAACGGGUGAGUAACGCGUGGGGAAUCUGCCUUUGAGCGGGGGAUAACAUUUGGAAACGAAUGCUAAUACCGCAUAAUAACUUUAAACAUAAGUUUUAAGUUUGAAAGAUGCAAUUGCAUCACUCAAAGAUGAUCCCGCGUUGUAUUAGCUAGUUGGUGAGGUAAAGGCUCACCAAGGCGAUGAUACAUAGCCGACCUGAGAGGGUGAUCGGCCACAUUGGGACUGAGACACGGCCCAAACUCCUACGGGAGGCAGCAGUAGGGAAUCUUCGGCAAUGGACGAAAGUCUGACCGAGCAACGCCGCGUGAGUGAAGAAGGUUUUCGGAUCGUAAAACUCUGUUGGUAGAGAAGAACGUUGGUGAGAGUGGAAAGCUCAUCAAGUGACGGUAACUACCCAGAAAGGGACGGCUAACUACGUG
rnacentral:rRNA from 1 species